CAUCCUUGAUCCUCUUAAUAGAAUUCUCAAACUCUUUUACUGAAAUUCUCCACUGGUUCUUCUAAAAUGGAUAACAGUCAGAAACCAGCAACUGAUGUUGAAGUUUUGAGUUCCCGUAUCAAUUUCCAUGGCCACUUUUCAUGUGUUGCCCUCUCCGCAUUGUCUAAUAGUGCGGUAAUCUUAUCAAAUGGAAGAUAGCUCAGGAAACUCCUCCUGUAAAAAUACUGUGUCCUGACCAAAUGUAUUGCCAAUUCCCUGCUUUGAGGCAAGUGUUGAGACUUGAAAUCUUCUCAUAC
rnacentral:lncRNA from 1 species